CGGGUGAGUAACGCGUGGGUAACCUGCCUCACACUGGGGGAUAACAGUUAGAAAUAGCUGCUAAUACCGCAUAAGCGCACAGUACCACAUGGUACAGUGUGAAAAACUCCGGUGGUAUGAGAUGGACCCGCGUCUGAUUAGCUAGUUGGUGAGGUAACGGCCCACCAAGGCAACGAUCAGUAGCCGACCUGAGAGGGUGACCGGCCACAUUGGGACUGAGACACGGCCCAG
rnacentral:rRNA from 1 species